rnacentral:rRNA from 1 species
GACGAACGCUGGCGGCGUGCUUAACACAUGCAAGUCGAACGAUGAAGCCUAGCUUGCUAGGUGGAUUAGUGGCGAACGGGUGAGUAAUACGUGAGUAACCUACCUUUAACUCUGGGAUAAGCCUGGGAAACUGGGUCUAAUACCGGAUACGACCAAUCUCCGCAUGGGGUGUUGGUGGAAAGCGUUAUGUAGUGGUUAUAGAUGGGCUCACGGCCUAUCAGCUUGUUGGUGAGGUAACGGCUCACCAAGGCGACGACGGGUAGCCGGCCUGAGAGGGUGACCGGCCACACUGGGACUGAGACACGGCCCAGACUCCUACGGGAGGCAGCAGUGGGGAAUAUUGCACAAUGGGCGCAAGCCUGAUGCAGCGACGCCGCGUGGGGGAUGACGGCCUUCGGGUUGUAAACCUCUGUUAGCAGGGAAGAAGAGAGAUUGACGGUACCUGCAGAGAAAGCGCCGGCUAACUACGUGCCAGCAGCCGCGGUAAUACGUAGGGCGCGAGCGUUGUCCGGAAUUAUUGGGCGUAAAGAGCUUGUAGGCGGUUUGUCGCGUCUGCUGUGAAGGCCGGAGCUUAACUCCGUGUAUUGCAGUGGGUACGGGCAGACUAGAGUGCAGUAGGGGAGACUGGAAUUCCUGGUGUAGCGGUGGAAUGCGCAGAUAUCAGGAGGAACACCGAUGGCGAAGGCAGGUCUCUGGGCUGUAACUGACGCUGAGAAGCGAAAGCAUGGGGAGCGAACAGGAUUAGAUACCCUGGUAGUCCAUGCCGUAAACGUUGGGCACUAGGUGUGGGGAACAUUCCACGUUUUCCGCGCCGUAGCUAACGCAUUAAGUGCCCCGCCUGGGGAGUACGGCCGCAAGGCUAAAACUCAAAGAAAUUGACGGGGGCCCGCACAAGCGGCGGAGCAUGCGGAUUAAUUCGAUGCAACGCGAAGAACCUUACCAAGGCUUGACAUAUACUGGACCGCAUCAGAGAUGGUGUUUCCCUUCGGGGCUGGUAUACAGGUGGUGCAUGGUUGUCGUCAGCUCGUGUCGUGAGAUGUUGGGUUAAGUCCCGCAACGAGCGCAACCCUCGUUCUAUGUUGCCAGCACGUUAUGGUGGGGACUCAUAGGAGACUGCCGGGGUCAACUCGGAGGAAGGUGGGGAUGACGUCAAAUCAUCAUGCCCCUUAUGUCUUGGGCUUCACGCAUGCUACAAUGGCCGGUACAGAGGGUUGCGAUACUGUGAGGUGGAGCUAAUCCCUAAAAGCCGGUCUCAGUUCGGAUUGGGGUCUGCAACUCGACCCCAUGAAGUCGGAGUCGCUAGUAAUCGCAGAUCAGCAACGCUGCGGUGAAUACGUUCCCGGGCCU